CGAUGUAGCUUCUGCCUGAUGUUAGUGCUUGGUAUCACCUGGAAAACAACAGAUGGAACAGCAAGUUGGUGGUCCAGCAGGCACACAGUCAUGUUAGCAGGCACACAGUCAUGUUAGCAGGCACACAGUCAUGUUAGCAGGCACACAGUCAUGUUAGCAGGCACACAGUCAUGUUAGCAGGCACACAGUCAUGUUAGCAGGCAGACAGUCAUGUUAGCAGGCACACAGUCAUGUUAUCAGGCACACUGUCAUGUCUCUAGGCACACAGUCAUGUUAGCAGGCACACAGUCAUGUUAGCAGGCACACAGUCAUGUUAGCAGGCAGACAGUCAUGUUAGCAGGCACACUGUCAUGUCUCUAGGUGCACAGUCAUGUUAGCAGGCACACAGUCAUGUUAGCAGGCACACAGUCAUGUUAGCAGGCAGACAGUCAUGUUAGCAGGCACACAGUCAUGCUAGCAGGCACACUGUCAUGUUAGCAGGCACACAGUCAUGUUAGCAGGCACACAGUCAUGCUAGCAGGUACACUGUCAUGUUAGCAGGCACACAGUCAUGUUAGCAGGCACACAGUCAUGUUAGCAGGCACACAGUCAUGUUAGCAGGCACACAGUCAUGUUAGCAGGCACACGGACAUGUUAGCAGGCACACAGUCAUGUUAGCAGGCACACAGUCAUGUUAGCAGGCACACAGUCAUGUUAGCAGGCACACAGUCAUGUCUCUAGGCACACAGUCAUGUUAGCAGGCACACAGUCAUGUUAGCAGGCACACAGUCAUGUUAGCAGGCACACAGUCAUGUUAGCAGGUACACUGCCAUGUUAUCAGGUACACAGUCAUGUUAGCAGGUACACAGUCAUGUUAUCAGGUACACAGUCAUGUCUCUAGGCACACAGUCAUGUUAGCAGGUACACAGUCAUGUUAGCAGGCAGACUGUCAUGUUAGCAGGCACACAGUCAUGUCUCUAGGCACACCGUCAUGUUAGCAGGCACACAGUCAUGUUAGCAGGCACACAGUCAUGUCUCUAGGCACACAGUCAUGUUAGCAGGCACACAGUCAUGUUAGCAGGUACACUGCCAUGUUAUCAGGUACACAGUCAUGUUAUCAGGUACACAGUCAUGUUAUCAGGUACACAGUCAUGUCUCUAGGCACACAGUCAUGUUAGCAGGUACACAGUCAUGUUAGCAGGCAGACUGUCAUGUUAGCAGGUACACAGUCAUGUCUCUAGGCACACCAUUAGUGAAACAGUGGGCGCACCAGUCUCUGAGGAAUUUGCCAUUGUAUAGAUUUUACAUUGACGACC
rnacentral:lncRNA from 1 species